rnacentral:rRNA from 1 species
GAUGGACGCUGGCGGCGUGCCUAAUACAUGCAAGUCGAGCGAACAGACGAGGAGCUUGCUCCUCUGACGUUAGCGGCGGACGGGUGAGUAACACGUGGAUAACCUACCUAUAAGACUGGGAUAACUUCGGGAAACCGGAGCUAAUACCGGAUAAUAUAUUGAACCGCAUGGUUCAAUAGUGAAAGACGGUUUUGCUGUCACUUAUAGAUGGAUCCGCGCCGCAUUAGCUAGUUGGUAAGGUAACGGCUUACCAAGGCAACGAUGCGUGGCCGACCUGAGAGGGUGAUCGGCCACACUGGAACUGAGACACGGUCCAGACUCCUACGGGAGGCAGCAGUAGGGAAUCUUCCGCAAUGGGCGAAAGCCUGACGGAGCAACGCCGCGUGAGUGAUGAAGGUCUUCGGAUCGUAAAACUCUGUUAUUAGGGAAGAACAAAUGUGUAAGUAACUAUGCACGUCUUGACGGUACCUAAUCAGAAAGCCACGGCUAACUACGUG